rnacentral:snRNA from 1 species
GGGGGUGAUCUGGCAGUGACAUCUGACAUCCCAUUGAUGGUCAGUCUUGAUUUUAUUGGUCUGGCUGGCUAGGUGGGUGUCCCAUUACUCCCUC